rnacentral:rRNA from 1 species
UUCCGGUUGAUCCUGCCGGACCCGACUGCUAUCGGAUUGAUACUAAGCCAUGUGAGUCAUUGUAGCAAUACAAGGCAGACGGCUCAGUAACACGUAGCCAACCUACCCUAUGGACGGGGAUAACCUCGGGAAACUGAGGAUAAACCCCGAUAGAUCAUAAUGCCUGGAACGGUUUAUGGUCCAAAUGAUUCGUCGCCGUAGGAUGGGACUGCGGCCUAUCAGCUUGUUGGUGAGGUAAUGGCCCACUAAGGCUAUUACAGGUACGGGCUCUGAGAGGAGAAGCCCGGAGAUGGGUACUGAGACACGGACCCAGGCCCUAUGGGGCGCAGCAGGCGAGAAAACUUUGCAAUGUGCGCAAGCACGACAAGGUUAAUCCGAGUGUUUCCUGCUAAAGGAAACUUUUGCUAGUCCUAAAAACACUAGCGAAUAAGGGGUGGGCAAGUUCUGGUGUCAGCCGCCGCGGUAAAACCAGCACCUCAAGUGGUCAGGAGGAUUAUUGGGCCUAAAAGCAUCCGUAGCCUGCUCUGUAAGUUUCCGGUUAAAUCCAUUAGCUCAACUGAUGGGCCGCCGGAAAAACUGCAAAGCUAGGGAGUGGGAGAGGUAGACGGUACUCGGUAGGAAGGGGUAAAAUCCUUUGAUCUAUUGAUGACCACCAGUGGCGAAGGCGGUCUACCAGAACACGUUCGACGGUGAGGGAUGAAAGCUGGGGGAGCAAGCCGGAUUAGAUACCCGGGUAGUCCCAGCUGUAAACGAUGCAGACUCGGUGAUGCCCUGGCUUGUGGCCAGUGCAGUGCCGCAGGGAAGCCGUUAAGUUUGCCGCCUGGGAAGUACGUACGCAAGUAUGAAACUUAAAGGAAUUGGCGGGGGAGCAC